GAUGAACGCUGGCGGCGUGCCUAAUACAUGCAAGUCGAGCGAACUGACGAGAAUCUUGCUUCUCUGAUGUUAUCGGCUGACGGGUGAUUAACACGUGUAUAACCUACCUAUAAGACUGGGAUAACUUCGUGAAACCGUAGCUAAUACCGGAUAAUAUUUUGAACCUCAUUGUUCAAAAGUGAAAUACGUUCUUGCUGUCACUUAUAGAUGGAUCCGCGCUGCAUUAGCUAGUUGGUAAGGUAACGGCUUACCAAGGCAACGAUGCAUAGCCGACCUGAGAGGGUGAUCGGCCACACUGGAACUGAGACACGGUCCAGACUCCUACGGGAGGCAGCAGUAGGGAAUCUUCCGCAAUGGGCGAAAGCCUGACGGAGCAACGCCGAGUGAGUGAUGAAGGUCUUCGGAUCGUAAAACUAUGUUAUUAGGGAAGAACAUAUGUGUAAGUAACUGUGCACAUCUUGACGGUACCUAAUCAGAAAGCCACGGCUAACUACGUG
rnacentral:rRNA from 1 species